rnacentral:rRNA from 1 species
GACGAACGCUGGCGGCGUGCUUAACACAUGCAAGUCGAACGGUAAGGCCCUUCGGGGUACACGAGUGGCGAACGGGUGAGUAACACGUGGGUGAUCUGCCCUGCACUUCGGGAUAAGCCUGGGAAACUGGGUCUAAUACCGGAUAGGACCACUGCCUGCAUGGGUGGGGGUGGGAAGCUUUUGCGGUGUGGGAUGGGCCCGCGGCCUAUCAGCUUGUUGGUGGGGUGAUGGCCUACCAAGGCGACGACGGGUAGCCGGCCUGAGAGGGUGACCGGCCACACUGGGACUGAGAUACGGCCCAGACUCCUACGGGAGGCAGCAGUGGGGAAUAUUGCACAAUGGGCGCAAGCCUGAUGCAGCGACGCCGCGUGAGGGAUGACGGCCUUCGGGUUGUAAACCUCUUUCAGCACCGACGAAGCGCAAGUGACGGUGGGUGCAGAAGAAGGACCGGCCAACUACGUGCCAGCCGCCGCCGUAA